rnacentral:rRNA from 1 species
GAUGAACGCUAGCUACAGGCUUAACACAUGCAAGUCGAGGGGAAACGACAUCGAAAGCUUGCUUUUGAUGGGCGUCGACCGGCGCACGGGUGAGUAACGCGUAUCCAACCUGCCCAUCACUUGGGAAUAACCUUGCGAAAGUAAGACUAAUACCCAAUGACAUCCCACGAAGACAUCUGAAUGGGAUUAAAGAUUUAUCGGUGAUGGAUGGGGAUGCGUCUGAUUAGCUUGUUGGCGGGGUAACGGCCCACCAAGGCAACGAUCAGUAGGGGUUCUGAGAGGAAGGUCCCCCACAUUGGAACUGAGACACAGUCCAAACUCCUACGGGAGGCAGCAGUGAGGAAUAUUGGUCAAUGGGCGAGAGCCUGAACCAGCCAAGUAGCGUGCAGGAUGACGGCCCUAUGGGUUGUAAACUGCUUUUAUAAGGGAAUAAAGUGGGUCUCGUGAGACUUUUUGCAUGUACCUUAUGAAUAAGAACCGGCUAAUUCCGUG